GUCCACGCCGUAAACGAUGUCUACUAGCCGUUGGAGUCCUUGAGGCUUUAGUGGCGCAGCUAACGCACUAAGUAGACCGCCUGGGGAGUACGGUCGCAAGAUUAAAACUCAAAUGAAUUGACGGGGGCCCGCACAAGCGGUGGAGCAUGUGGUUUAAUUCGACGCAACGCGAAGAACCUUACCAGGUCUUGACAUCUAGAGAACUUUCCAGAGAUGGAUUGGUGCCUUCGGGAACUCUAAGACAGGUGCUGCAUGGCUGUCGU
rnacentral:rRNA from 1 species